CUUAAACACUCUAAAUCUGAAGCUAAGAGAGAAUGGAGAUAGCUUGAGAGAGGGAAACGAAAUUGAAGAGAAAGAAGAAGGAUAGCUCAAAUCUUGGUCAUCCUUGGUUUGCAUGUGAGAGAUUUUGGCAAUUCUUGAAGAAAUAGUACCAAAUAAGCCUUGAUCAUCAUCUUUGCCACUCUUCCAGACUCAAUUCAGAAUCUACUCAAGCAAAGGUGUUUGCACUUAAAAUAUGUAAUUCAGCUUGAUGCAUGUUGUUAAGAAACUGAAUGGUCUCACUGGAAGAACAUGUGGCAGUGCGUAAUGUACUAUUUUGUUAUUCACUAAAUUCAGUUAGCAGAAUUUGGUUUUGUGAGAUUGUGUUCAAUGGACAUUUAUCUGCAACAUAUACUCGUUGCAAAAAAUAAGUAAUGUUAUAUUGUUUUCUAAUUCAAUAAUGUGAUAAUUGAUACUUCGUCUAUAUUUAUCUCAAUAACUUUAUAGUGUAUUCCCGUUUCGCUAAGAAUUGCAACUGUAGUUGAAAUGAAGGUGCGAAAUUGUUCCAUGAUGUAUUAUAUGGUCUUUUUGAAUUUUCAUAAGAACAUAUACUGGUAUAAAGUUGUACAUUUGAAUCGCGUGAAGCUUCAAUUAUUCAACAUAUACUGGUGUUUUUGUUUGAAGAGAUUGUUUGAAACAUAGAGGUAAAUCAUUUGUGUUUCGAUUGCUUGGAGCGUAAGUUUAAGCAUUUCUAUUACAACAACUAAGAGUUCAGAGUCCAAGUGAAACUUGAAGUGCAAGUUUUCUCUAAUUCAGCCAAGGGCUCGGAAUAAUUAAUAAAUAUAUGAUUCUGAUAAUAAUACUCGGUUUGCUUCUCUAUUUCCAUUUCUAACUUCAGUUUCUCCAACAUUUUUUCUUCAAAAGCAAUGAAGAAAGUCAUGUCUAACAUACUAUCAUAGCAAACGGAUCAGUUUGCUUCUAUAUAUUCAAACCCGUGAUACAAUAAUAACAAUAACAUUUACAAAUCUAAUAUCAAAAAUAAAUUAAAAAAAAAAAAAAAA